rnacentral:rRNA from 1 species
UACGUAGGGGGCAAGUGUUAUCCGGAUUUACUGGGUGUAAAGGGAGCGUAGGCGGUGCAGCAAGUCAGAAGUGAAAGCCCGGGGCUCAACUCCGGGACUGCUUUUGAAACUGUUGAACUAGAUUGCAGGAGAGGUAAGUGGAAUUCCUAGUGUAGCGGUGAAAUGCGUAGAUAUUAGGAGGAACACCAGUGGCGAAGGCGGCCUGCUGGACAUUAACUGACGCUGAGGCGCGAAAGCGUGGGGAGCAAACAGG